CACGCGGGACACUGAGCACAGCCCCUCCGCGCACACGCGGUUAUCGAUAAACGCAGACGUGACACGUUCGUGGGUUCUGUUUCCCUGGAGGGCAGCUGGGACUGGUGUGAAUUCUCCCGUCUCACCCCACAAAUCCUAACGGGCACCCGCGAGCUUUCUCGUCUCGACUUUCACACGUAAAUUGUGUUUUCUUUUUAAAAUGACUCGUAGCGCGAGCUCCUGGCGUCCGUGCCAGGUUGGAAUAGAGACGCUGUCCCGGGGGGAGAGAGGGGGACGGUUGAGAAUUCUCUGGAACCCCCAGCGGCGCAGACACCCACCCGCGGCUGGACGCGCGGAGCCCGCCCUGGGCCUCCCUCCCCGGCUUCAGGUCCCCGCCUCGGCCCUGCCCACCUGGGGCUGCGCUCCCUGCAAGUCUGCGGCCCCCACGCGGCCCUCGGCCCCGGCGCGGGUCUUCUGCGGACGCCUCCAGCCAGCUCCGGGUCCCUGCGCGGAGGACGCUGAUUCGUGUCGUUAAGCGGGUGAAGCGGGUGUAGACAGAGGUGCGUCCUGCCCUCCCCACCCGCUGCCCCCGCAGCAGCCACCGAGCCUCGACCGGCGGCUUCCGAAUGCACGAAGUCCACGCUCCUGCCCGGGACCCUGAGUCGGGGCCUGGUCCACGCGCUGCCGCCGCCUCUAGGGCCCUGACCCCUCCCGGGCACAGCGGGCCCGUCCCCGGAGGCGAUGCCGGCCCGGGUCUGCCCUGCGGUUCCCCCUCCCGCGCUGCUUCCUGCCCGCAGUAGGGGCCGCUCCUCACCGCGCAGGCCCCGCUCAGAGGAGCCCCAGAGCUGGAGAGGCCCCCGCGGCUGGAGAGGCCCCGCCGCCCCCCAGAUGCCCCCGGGGCCCUGCCCGGUUCUUCCCUUCCCAGCCCCGACGCCUCUGGCUUCACCUCUUCCCUUCAUUUCACGGAUCCGCUUAUUUCAGGGGAGCUCCAGGAGGGCAGGGAUUUUGUCCGUUUCUUUCACUUUUGGAUCUGCAGAGCCCAGGACAGCACCUGGCCCGUAGUAGGUGCCGCAAGAAACGCUUCUUGAAGGAAGGAAGGAACGAACCCACGAGUAUUGCAGGAGGAUUAAAUGAAAGAUCAAUUCAUCCCACCUCACGGUAAUAGGCACCCUGUUUCCUCCCAGCCCCGAGAUUGGAGAGUUUGUUUUCAUCCUCCUGUUGUCUGAACACAGCACAGAGCAAUCCUGAGACACAAAGCAACGUGCCUUUCAAAAUUUUUAAUAAACAUGGAAUCUUGCUAUGCUGGCCAGGCUGGUCUUGAACUGCUAGCCUCAAGCGAUCCUCCCUCCUUGGCCUCUCAAAAUGUUGGGAUUAUAGGCGUGAACCACUGUAACCAGCCUCAAGACAGGCUUUCUAAGACACAAGAUUCCGCGUGUCAACUGUAUCCACGGAAACCAUUCCUUAGUUUAUUGUCACCGCCAUUCCUAACUCUGAUGUGAAAAUCCCUGCGUUCAUCAACAUAACCCAGUUAGGGUCGCACUCAUCACGGGGCCCCCAUUGCCUCUGGCGCACCCCACGACUGACAUCUGCGGGGCCUUCGCGCUAGGCUUCGAGUUUCAGCUUCCGCACCAGGCCUGCCUUUCUGCAGGGGCCAGGGUGGGGGUCGUGUGCUGAUUGGGCCCUCUGAACCGCCACCGCUGCAGAGGGGCUGUUCCUUCCGUCACAUCCCUUGUGCCCGAAUCCACCCUGUGUCUUCUCUUUUCUCAGCAGGACAUUUUAAAAGCCCAGACCCCCUCCUUACAGAGCAAAUGUCCAGGCUUCGGAGGUCACUGUCACAUCCCAAGAACCCCCUUCACCAGGUGCCACUCUUGAGACUGGACUGAAGCCCCCUGGAGAGGUGAGCUUGGUGGGCUCUGUAGGUUUAGGGAACUUUGAGGUUCACUGCCCUUAGGAGGGAAGCCCUCUCCGGUUCUCCGCAGUCCCCACCGUUCCCUAUCGUCACCCCUGGGCACCUGCACUCCCACGGUUCUGCCUGGGCCUUGGGGGCAUUUGAGCCCUGGGCCCAUCCUGAGUUGGUUUGGAGGCUGGGCUGUGUGGAGCUGUGGAAGGCCCUGGGCAUGCGGCCAGCUCACUGCUGGGAGCCUGGUUUUCUCACUGUCCAGCUGUGUGGCUCGGGGGCCCCUUCCACUUGCCUUUGUCCUGCUGCCUGAGAUGAGGGCAUGGACAGCCGGGUACAAGACGGGACAGGCAACCUCGCAGUGGUGGUAACCCUGUGCAUGAACCCUGGGCCUGGCACGUGGACCUCCUGUGACCGUCCCCACAGGCCCGUGAGGCUGAGCUUGGCACUGCCCAAGACCACACAGUCCAUGCGCAGUGGAGCUGGGGUCCAGGCUGCCCACCAGGGCAGUGACUGCAAUGGUGGCAGCAGGGGACAGUCACCAUGGUGAGCUCAAGCCAGGCGCUGCACUGACCUUGAGGGAGGGCUCCAUGCUUCCCCUUCCCACAGCUGCAGUGAGGGCUAGGAGAGCAGGGUCGGCUGCAGGCUUGAGUCCUGGGGUGCCUCUGGGCUGACGGGCCCUGCCUGACCUGCUCCUCCAGUGCCCCAGCCCUGCCCCACCCACGUCCCCUCCUCUCACUGCCCCCUGGCCCACUCCGCUGCGGUCUCAGUGCCUUCCCAGGCUGGGCAUCAUCUGAUGGGAGGAAAAUGAGGGCCCCAGACUCUGUGUCAUCCUGGCAGGACCCCUCCCCUCCCAUGGCUUUGAGCCCAUGAGAUGGCCUUGGACAAAGCGGCAAUGGGCCCUUCCUGAGACACAGUGCGGCCAUCUACUGGGAAACUGCCCAGUGUGACUCUGAUGACUGUGAUGUGAAUCCCACAGCAAAGUUGAGCAGUGCGCAACCUGGGCUACUGCACCUGGCAGCCCUGGCUCCUCCUCCUCUGCCUCUUCCUGCUCCUUCAUUCUCCCCCAGAGCUCUAAUUGUCACUGAGAUUUUAUGUUUCGUUUAACAAAUGACUGUCUCCCCGCUUGAACAGAACCUCCAUGGGGGGAGGGAAGAGUGUCUGUUGUAUAAAUAGUUGUAUUUCAGUGCAUAAAACAG
rnacentral:lncRNA from 10 species